rnacentral:rRNA from 2 species
GGGUUGUGAGGUUAAGCGACUAAGCGUACACGGUGGAUGCCCUGGCAGUCAGAGGCGAUGAAGGGCGUGCUAAUCUGCGAUAAGCGCCGGUAAGGUGAUAUGAACCGUUAUAACCGGCGAUACCCGAAUGGGGAAACCCAGUGUGAUUCGUCACACUAUCAUUAACUGAAUCCAUAGGUUAAUGAGGCGAACCGGGGGAACUGAAACAUCUAAGUACCCCGAGGAAAAGAAAUCAACCGAGAUUCCCCCAGUAGCGGCGAGCGAACGGGGAGGAGCCCAGAGCCUGAAUCAGCAUGUGUGUUAGUGGAAGCGUCUGGAAAGGCGCGCGAUACAGGGUGACAGCCCCGUACACAAAAGCGCAUGUGCUGUGAGCUCGAUGAGUAGGGCGGGACACGUGGUAUCCUGUCUGAAUAUGGGGGGACCAUCCUCCAAGGCUAAAUACUCCUGACUGACCGAUAGUGAACCAGUACCGUGAGGGAAAGGCGAAAAGAACCCCGGCGAGGGGAGUGAAAAAGAACCUGAAACCGUGUACGUACAAGCAGUGGGAGCCCCACCACCAAAGCAUUUGCUGUACCGCGUUGACGGAGCGAAGCGACGUCAAACCGAUAAAACAGCAGUGUAAAGUGAGCCGCAGGGCGCUUUGCGCGACAGCGCAAAGGCAGGCGGUUUCGCGUAGCGAAAGCGAAUGCUUUGGGGUGGGGUGACUGCGUACCUUUUGUAUAAUGGGUCAGCGACUUAUAUUCUGUAGCAAGGUUAACCGAAUAGGGGAGCCGGAGGGAAACCGAGUCUUAAUUGGGCGUUAAGUUGCAGGGUAUAGACCCGAAACCCGGUGAUCUAGCCAUGGGCAGGUUGAAGGUUGGGUAACACUAACUGGAGGACCGAACCGACUAAUGUUGAAAAAUUAGCGGAUGACCUGUGGCUGGGGGUGAAAGGCCAAUCAAACCGGGAGAUAGCUGGUUCUCCCCGAAAGCUAUUUAGGUAGCGCCUCGUGAAUUCAUCUCCGGGGGUAGAGCACUGUUUCGGCUAGGGGGCCAUCCCGGCUUACCAACCCGAUGCAAACUGCGAAUACCGGAGAAUGUUAUCACGGGAGACACACGGCGGGUGCUAACGUCCGUCGUGAAGAGGGAAACAACCCAGACCGCCAGCUAAGGUCCCAAAGUCAUGGUUAAGUGGGAAACGAUGUGGGAAGGCCCAGACAGCCAGGAUGUUGGCUUAGAAGCAGCCAUCAUUUAAAGAAAGCGUAAUAGCUCACUGGUCGAGUCGGCCUGCGCGGAAGAUGUAACGGGGCUAAACCAUGCACCGAAGCUGCGGCAGCGACACUGUGUGUUGUUGGGUA